rnacentral:rRNA from 1 species
UACGUAGGUGGCAAGCGUUGUCCGGAUUUACUGGGUGUAAAGGGCGUGCAGCCGGAGAGACAAGUCAGAUGUGAAAUCCACGGGCUCAACCCGUGAACUGCAUUUGAAACUGUUUCCCUUGAGUGUCGGAGAGGUAAUCGGAAUUCCUUGUGUAGCGGUGAAAUGCGUAGAUAUAAGGAAGAACACCAGUGGCGAAGGCGGAUUACUGGACGAUAACUGACGGUGAGGCGCGAAAGCGGGGGGAGCAAACAGG